UGCCGCCUCGAUCCUCCAGCCUGGAGCGGUGCAUUAUUGAUGCAGCUGCAAGUGCUCAAAGCUUAAACAAUAUUUUUUCCGAAAGCCCCAGCAGCCCGCCCGGGAGGAAGGUGGGGACGGGCUGGCGAUGGAGUCCUGAAUGUUACUCCUCCAGUUUCAAGGACAUCUUGCUGAUGAGGAUUUGGUUAAUGGAGGAGAACUUAUGUCCUAGCGGUGACGUCAUUGGGUCCCAAUGUAAUCCUCUUGUGCUGAACCCAAUCAGCAGAUGUGCUGAGAGCCGGGAUGCGGAGAAGAAGCUCUAAUCCCUUAGACUGGAUGAGAUCAGCUGAAACGGCCAGGACUAGACCCCAAACCCCUCUGCUAGGAAGAUCAAGAGAAAAGGGAUAAAUUGAGAGAGACGCCUCAUAACCCCUUUAAAGAGCUUUGGAGAAGAGAAGAGAAAGAUGGGUGGUGCACCAAGUUCAUCUUGCUUUUAAAGCCUAGCGGGAGCCUGGUUUUCACUCUGAUGAGGUCCUUCUGCAUUGUUCCAGGGCAGGAGGAGAAAAGAGGAAAAAAAAAAGAGAGAGAGAAAGAGAAAAGGAAAAAAAAAAAAAAAGAGAGAGGAAAAAAAAAGUCUGAAAUUCAAAGAUAAUGAGAGACUAGGCGCCUUUCUUAUUCAUCUCCAGCUUGCCUACACAAAAACAAGCGUCCUGAGCCACGGGAGGGCGUUUGCACUGGAUCUGAGCGAGGAGUGGAGUUUGUGCCGCCGGAGCCGCCGGGCGCCGCGUCCACGAGUGGCCCCGCUCGCCGCCUGCCCUGCUCCGAGCGGGGACAGCCCGAGCCCCUCUCUGCGUGUUCACAGCGGACCUUGAUUUAAUGUCCAUACAAUUAAGGCACGCGGUGAAUGCCAAGAGAGGAGCCUCACAGCUUCAUUUUCAUGGAAAUUGGGGACAUAAACCCUCUAAUUACACUUAACAACAGCCACGGAGCGAUCUAUGGAGCAUCCUCGGCCUUUUGACAAAUAGGAGUAACAAUGCGCCAGCGCCCGGCGGGGCAGCUGUCUCCUCGCAUUAACGGGGGCACGGGGGGAGGCGGGGGGAGGCCCCGCUCCGGCCCCGCCGGGACUUGCGGGGGCUCCCGGCGUACAAAGGGCAGGAGGAGCGGCAGGACAAUGCGGGCAGAGCUGGGGGGGCAGCGGGCAGGGACCGCUCCGAGGAGCGGGGCGUGGGCGGGGGGUGACGAGCGGCCUCUCGUCGCAGAGCGAGGGACCCCCCUCCCAAAGAGACACCCCCCUCUUCUCAGCCUCCACAAUGCCGUUCAGAAAGCUCCCUGAAAAAACACCCCUCUGGAGGAUUUUAGGAAGGGGGGCGCUUUUUGCUUCAUUUUUUCAGUAGGUCUUUUUUUGGUUUUAUUUUGCCGUUGCCCCUGCAAUGCUCCUCCCUCACGUGGGGGCUCGGCCAUGUGGCUCCCGCUGCUCUGCGGAGCUGCAAGACAGGUCCAGGGUCCUGUCCUGCCCCUCUGAGCCCCUUUGCAGCUCAACUAUCCCCAGAACAAAACGAUGAGCCUGCUUUUUUUCAAAAGCAGGGCUGGCAAGGUGAGGGGCUGCAGCGCUGCAGCCUCCCCAGUGCCACCUCCGGCCCUGUCACCGCAGCCUGCAAGGUGGCACACAUCCCCUUUUGCAGUCUCCAGCGAGACUGCAGUAACCCACACCGGUUCUUAGGUCAGGCUUUAGACCUCAAUAAAUCUCUGUUGUAAGACUCGUGUAUUCAACUUCCUAAAGACAUGCCGAGCCCUAAGUUUGAGCUUCUUGAGGACUGUGCUUGGGCAAGGGAGGAUUUGAUAAUUUGGCAGCAAAAAGCCAUAGAGCCGGAUUGAGCCGCAUACACCCAACUCUCUGUGCCCCCUCCCCGCUUCAUCUCUGCUCCACUUUUGUCAGCAUUGCGUCUGUCCAAGGAACCGAGGCCGUGGAUGUCUCCAUCCUCCAUCUCUGCAGUGUUUGUGUGGGACACACGACCUUGUCUGCAGCGGAAAUGUCAGUGGCAGAGCACUCACCUUGCUUAGGAGGGGGGAAAGGAAAACCUUCCCGUACUUUGUGGGAUUACUUGAUUUCAAGCUGGCCUGUGAAAAGCAGGGACUUUCAGGCAGGGCUCCUGGGGGAAGUGGGGCAAGGGAAGAAGCAGAGGACACGGGCCGUGGAGGAGUGUGGUGUUGAGGCUGUUCUGCUGCAGAGGCAUUGCACAACUGAGCAGUUGUGGACGGGUCAUGCCUCCAAAGCUGGCAGGAGACAGGAGCGAGGAAGCACACGAUGCCCACAGAGCUCCAUCGAGCGGUGCAGCCACCUGUCCCUCUCCUGGACCUGAUCGUGAGCAUUGCUCCAACGAGGCCAGGUACCAUGUAACUGCAGCAGCUCACAGGGCAAGAGGCUGCGGGGUGCAGGAGGGCCCAGCUUCAUCAGGAGGGCUCUAGAGGCACAGAGAUUCUUAAAAGAAGCUGGAUUUUCCCCCUCUCUCUUUCCCAAUAGAUCAGCACAGGUACUGAGGUGUCGGAGACCUGCUUGCUCCCACAUCCAUCGUGUGCUGCAAUGUCACAGGAUGCAUUUUGACCUCAUUUGCCCCCAAUGUAAGUUGGGCUAUGCGGUGACUGGAUUCACUGCUGGGGGAAGGGAACAUCGCUGAUCUCUUCCAUGCAACCCUGUGGGGGCAGAUCUCCAGCCACAGGGCAGUUCUGCUCUUGAACAAGUCCUUGGUUCUUUGCAAAGCUGGUAGGGAGGAGUAAGAAGCCAAGUGCAGGGAGACAGAUCCUGAUAAACGUAAAGCUGACAUUGAGAAGGGAGUGAGCCACUCCAAGGUAAUCUGCAGUGCAGCAGGAAAGCUGCUGGCUUCCUCCAGGGGCCACCAAGAGGCCAAGGAUAGCUCUGAAGGAAUGCAGGUAACUGGUGGGAGCUGUGUGGGGCCAAAUGGACCACACUGGGCCCAGUCCCCAGAUUGGCAUUGAGAAUCAAGAUCAGUUGUGCCAAGAUGGUGCAAGUCAGAUGCUUAUCCUGGACCAGAUCGCUCUCCAGGUUUGCCGGGGAGGGUGCUGCACAGACUCCUCAGCAAACAGGACUGCCUCAAUUCGCAAAGGCUCUUCCUCAGACUUUCUAUGUGCUCCCUUCUUAGCCAAGAGGGGAUUCAUUAAAUUUGAUCACUGAGAUGUAACCCUCCUCCCUCACACAAAGCCCCCUCCAGUGCUACCACACCUAUUGCUCCGGCGUGCCUGGCAGCAGCCGUGCCCAUCCCUGAUCUGUGCAGAGCCAGCGGCUGCAGCACAGCCGGGGGGUCACACAAACCCCACCAAGCUCUGGGGCCACGGUGCUGCAAGGAGCCCUCCCCACCGCUGUGACACCCAGGGAGGCAGCAGGAGCCAGAUCAGUGCGGCUGGCAGGAACGAGCGGGGAAGGCUGGCAGUGCAGCCGGCCGUGGUUUCAUGUUGCACCUUCCCUGCUCCUACACUGACCCCUCUUUAGGUAAGUCAAGGCUCAGUCACCAGGGAGCAGAGAGUUAUUGCACAGAGACAUCCAUGUGCCCAUAAACUGCUCUCCCCGGCCUUCUCCAUCGUCUUUGCUGCUCACUGUGGAUUCACAGGUCCCUCAAGGAUAAGGUCCCACUUCUGUGCAGCUCCUUAGCCGUGGUUGGUGGUGAUCCUGCAGUGAUUCCUGGCUGGCUCAGAGGCUCAGCUCUGCUGUGGUUCAGCUGGAGGCACCUCCUCCAGGAAGUCACACAUCCCACAGGUUGCUCAGCUGAAAAAAGCCCCCAGAGUAACACCAUUAGUCACACAGCAAGGACAGCACUGCCACCAAGUCACCUCCGGUUGCAGGCACCACUUCCUUGACAUUCAGAAGGAGAAUUUAUCCAAGAUCAGAUACACUCCUGUGGCAGUCACAGCUUUAGUCCAGUUUCCUGAUGGGAAAGCCUUGGGGAAAAUACGAGCUGCAACAUGGGGCUGGAUCAGGCCAUUCUAUGAUAGACUCACCAUGGAGGAGAAAUCAUCAUCUUAUUUCCCCUGUACAGCUCCCCCACACUCAGGAGAGUGACACAGUUUCCUCCCCACAGGGAAAAGCACAGCUGGAGCCAAGUUGGGGUGAGAAGGAAGCAUCACCUUCCACCCUCUAAGCACCUCUUCCUUGUAGAUGUACACAAAGCACCAGCCUCCAGUCCACGUCCACAUGACAACUGCUCAAGAAUUUGCACAUGACAGGCUCAUCCUUUACAAGUCCUGACAUCAAUCAUUAAGGACAGGUUAAAAAAUAGGUGUCUUUUCUCCCAAAUCACCACAGGGCAGGUAGAGCUGCCUUGUCAGCCCACUGUGUGCGCCAGGGAGGCCUUGGGUUUGAGCUACAUUGAGAAAUACAGGCACCACUUGGCAAUAGGAUAAGGAGAAACCCACCUGGGCAGAGGCCUGACUUUUGAUGACAUGAGUGGGUAAACUUAAGAAAGAAAGGUUAACAGUGAAGUGCAUAAAAGGCUGCUGCAAGGAGAGGCAACCAGACAAUUUCCAUGGCUUUGCAGGUAGGAACAGGCCCAACCUGCAGCAGGAAUGAUUCAGGUAGUAGGAAAAGAGCCUUCUGGUGGAAAGGAUAGAAAAGCACUGAAACAGCCUGGGAAGGAGGAGAAAUUCCUGCCCAGGGAAGAUCUGGGAGAAGCACAUAGCAGGAGUCCCAAGGUGGCACUGGUCCCUCCAGCCUAACAGUGCCACCAGCAGAAAGUGGCAUCACACAUCUAUUUCUCCUGAAAAUACGGUGAAGCUUCCUCACAUCUUCAUGUCUUUUCCUAAACCCAAAGGGCUCAUCAUCUGUGUCUCCACAGAGACCAGAAACGUGCCUCUGCUCAAGUGACAAUGGCAGAGUGCAGUGCCUUGUUGUCCUCAUACAAAGACAAGGUUAAGGAAUCGCAACAGAAGUGGUCAAAUUCAAGCAUCAUUUUUUUCUAAAACGAUAGAAAUGGGAUGUAUCUUCAUCAGUCCUAUGAAAGUAAUCCUAUUUGGGAUUACUUCCUCACAUGGUUUGUCCCAAGCCAGCUCAAAACCAAUUGAGAGCAUUACCAAGGUAUAAUACCCUCAGGUGACAUCCCAGAGGGAUUGCCAUUUUCUGUCACCUCCUAAUAGCUCCCUUUCAAUUGACUGCACACCUUCCUGGGUACAUUUGCAGAAACAGAGGAAAACAUUGAUAAUCAGAUAUGUGUGGGAUCAUAAAAUAUAUCUUACACAGGUGCAUCUGAAGAUACAUAUUUAUAAUACAUACAUAUAUAUAUAUAGAUAUACAUAACAUAUAUGUUAUACAGCUGUCUCUCUGUCCAGGGACUUGCAAAGUCAGACACAGAAGGAUUCAAAGCACUCACUCAAGGACCCUGAACCACGGCCUACCCUCAAGGGAGGGGAGAUUUUUAGGAGGAGAGGUGAUUUAAGCUGUCAGAACAAUUCACCUCACCGGCAGCCUAGCUUUCCCAGCCUGGGCUGCCCGACUUUUGCCACUAGAAAGUGAGGGACCCUCAGCACAUCAUCCUCCCUCCCUGCAGAUCCUGCCUAUAUUUUAGAGCAGCUUUCCUGUGCUGUUUGUGGAGCUGCUCUAGGACUGGGAGAGCACAGGGAUCGCUUUCACAGCCCGCUCUCAUAACCCUCUAAGUAACCCCACCGCCAGCUGCUGCCCAGCCCGAGCGGGCAACACCUCUUUAAACUUUUAUCACCUUUCGUACAAAGCGAGAACCGAGACAGAAGCAGCUCCUGCAGGACAGAGGAGACAAAAGCGGGACAAAGGCACAGUGCCUCCUGCAAAGGGCCAGGUGACCGCAGGAUGGCACCACUGUGGCUUCUCCUGCAGGGACAGCAGGGACAGCAGGGACAGCAGGGACAGCAGGGACACCGUGCCAGGGCCGGGCGGCGGAGCGGCCGCGCUCCCGCUGACAGAGGCGCCGGCCCUCGGGCCUCCCGGGUGGCCUUUGUGUCACCGAACCGCCGAUGAAUGAUUCAGUAUCCGGCACCUACACACGCCCUGAGCUACGAUUUUGGUUUCAAGACUGUGGCUUGAAUUAAAUUUCAUUCUGAACUGAGGAGGCAACUCUGCCUCCUCCUGACCGUCCAGUCCCGCUUCCUGCGAGGCCAGAGCCGCCCCUCUGCUCCGGCAUUUAGGGAAACAACCAAAAGAGGUCUUCUACUACAUUCUUUCACCCUCAACAUUUUAGCCCACCGCCCCUGCCUGCCACUGGCUUUGCCACUCUGGCUCAGCUCUGAAACCCUCUCUGCCUGGCAGCCCAGCACGCUGCAGCCUGGUACCCCUGGUACCCCUGGUACCCCUGGUACCGCUCCCGUCUGCCGGGGCUGCCGGGCCCCCUGCAAGGCGCAGGAGGCGGCUGGGGAAGGGGCAGGGACCCCCGUGCUCCGGGUGGGAGCCAUGGCUGCUGCUGGGCACACGGUGGCACUCGCUCUCCAUCCCAGCAGAGCUGCGGGAAGCGACAGCCGGUGCAAGAUGCAAAGCAGGCAUUGGGUUGCUCCGUCAGAAGAUGCGUGCUCGGCUCCUUCCCUGCAUCCCCCGGCCCCUCUCUGGAUCCUCCAGGCACGGCCGGAUCGCUCGUGUCCCGGUCCUUUCUCUCACACGCAGCAGUUCUGGACGCCAGGGCUGCCACUUCCACGGGGUGUCGGCCAAGAGCUCGUGUCUAAAAUGACAAGGCCGGGAGAGUGCAAGGAGCAAAGCCUUUCCUGCUGGUCUGCAAAUGACCACUGUGAUAAACCAGACUGUCUGAAGCCCUUUCUCCCCAUAAGGAUGGGAGAAGGUUACCGUCUUCACUUAAAAACUAGUUCUCCCUCCUCUCCCUCAUUGCCACAGGAUUCCCAACUGAGAUCCACCCCAGAGGAUGGAUCUCCAUCCCCAGAGGCAACACAAAUCUCCUCUUCCCCGGCCUUGCCCCCAUAAAUUAACCCAAUCUCCAGGGGGAAUGGAUGCUCCUGAGCACUUCACAUCAUGGUAGUAACAUCCAGCCUUCCCCCACCUCGUUCCAGCAAAGCUUGCAUCCCUUCCCCUAUGGAAAUGCCAGCUGAUUCAGAGAGCUUCAUGUUUUGUGCAAAGCAGUGAUCAAAGGCUUGCUUGCAGCUGCUGAGCUUCAUUUUAGCUAUUGCACAACACAAGAAGCUGCCUCCUAGCCCACCUUAUCCCCAACAGCAUCUCCAAAGCAGGAGUGGUAUUUAGAUGAGACCUACAGAAAUCACCUAAUAUGAUGCGUCAGAUCUCUUGCAUUCAGAUGGGAAAAGAAAAAAGGCAGAAGCAAUGGAGAGGAGGAGGUGGUAGGUGCACAUGAGAUAAUUUGUCAGGAGCCUGUACGUCAGCUCCCAGAGAGAGGACUUGUAUCACACACUUGGAAAUGAGCAACUUCCAUUUUAGAGGGGUUACUUGUAGGGUGGCACCCUCAUAAAAGACACCCCACGGGGUCCUGCAGCAGGAGAGGUUGUGCAGUGUUAAUGCCAAGGCACAAGGAUGCCAGAUCCGGAGGCAGCAAAGCUGUAGGCUUGGAGCGUAAGGCAUGAGGAGCUGACACCCAAGUGUCUGCAAAUAAAUGAAAUCAGGGAGAAGGGAGGUGGAGCUGGGAUGGAGCAAAGCAGCACUGCAAACCGGCCAGUGGAAGCAGGAGGAUAUGGGGGCUGUUUUCCUGGGCUGCCCUGCAGCUUUCUGCUCUAAACUCUGCUGGCAGCACAAACCCUUCCCACCCAAGGCUCCCCCUUUUCCCAGUGCAAGUGACAGCCAGACAAAGUCAGACAUCUACACUGUCAAAUCCUGAUGGAAAGCCUUACCACUGGAAACCUGUCAUUCCACAGCUGAACUCAGGUGCAGGCCCCAGAGACAGAAAAGCUUUUGGCAUCGUUACAGGAAAAGAUCUGGAAGUGCUGUAGGAAGUUACAUCCCAAUUAGCUUCACGUAAAGGUGGGGUAAGCAUUACAAAGCAUUUAAAAGAUCAAAUGCAAAAGCACAGCUUGAGUAAUAGGGACCAAGGUGAUUUCAGCAAGGAACAGUUGUGGUUAAUCUGGUGGAGCUCUUUGAGGCUGGAACUGCUACAGCAGCCAAAGGGGAGGGAACAGCACAGCACAAUUAGGUUUGCAGCAUGCAGUGGACAGGGCUUUGCAAAAGAAGCUAAUGACUGAGAUGGGGAGUCCCAGAAUAAGAGGAUGUGCUGUGGCUUAAUGCUCUGGAAAUUGCCCAGAAACAAAGAUGCAAGCAGGAAGGUAUUAAUGGAAGCCUUCUGUGUCAGAAGGAAAUGAUUCCAGGGAUGCAGCAGUGCAGCCAGCUUGUCUGGAGCAGAACAAAAGGCAGUGAGGGAGGACAGGGCUUCCUAGGGCAGGGAGCUGCAUUUCAGUGCUGAACAUCAUAUUCCAUGACCCCUCAUACCCCAAAUAAACAAUUCCCUCCUUUUUUUUUUUUUUUUUUUUAAGUAGGGCUGUUGGAACGUUGCUUUUUAUAUUUUUUUCCAGCUUUUUUUCUUUUCUUGCUCUCAAGUUUCUUGGCUUGGGGUUUUUUUUUUUUGGUUUGGUUUCUUGUUUUGCUUUUGGUUAUUUUUUUUGUCUGGUUAGUAUUUUUGUUUGUUUUUUUUUUUUUUUUUAACAAAAUUAGGAACUUCUUUCAGAACAAACUGUGCCAAGCAGCACACACAGGCCCCAUCAGUGUGGGGAUGGAACAGUUGCAUGGCUGCGAUCACAUCCUAUACUUGGAAGGCCAAGCAUGAGCUAUGCCAGAUGGUGCCAACCAGGAGUUACAUUGCCCAUAUCCUUCCCUGCAUUCUGCAAAUCUGCAGAGAAAUGGAAAUGGCAGGUGAGGAACAGAAAGGCUUCAUUUUGUACCCUUUAGCUUUGGUGAGAGCCUUGCAGUGCAAUAAUCUGACACACAUGGAAACAAAUUCCAAGCGAAUGGCACCUAAAAACCAUCUCAAUUCCCAGGACUGAGAGCAGUGACAUAAGAGAAUACUCCAACAUGACUAAGACAGGAGCUAGGAUUAUUUUUUUGCUCUAGUCCUUGAAUUCAGUACUUGGUUGUAAUACUCAAAAGCCAGGCCGAUUCUCAGCUCGAGCUACAUCCCUGCAAAGACCACAGUCUGAGGGGUUCUCCCCUUGUGGGAGUCACAUCUAGAAGUCAGAGUUGAGUAUGGCAUAAGCUCAGGAAAAGAAAACAAAGGGUAAAAUAUUCUUGGCUCCUGGAGCACUCAUCCCACAGGGAACAGAAACCCAGCCUGACCUGAGAGCAGCAGAGCACACACAGGUUAAGGAAUCUGUUUGCCAGAGGAGGAUGCAAAGCACUGUGAGAGGUCACCACACUCUUAUGAUUUACCACAAUCCUGGUGAUUUCCACGUGAAUUUAUUUCUCAAUUCAACAGGUCUUGAGAACCCUGGGAACAAUUUACCAACUACAUCACAUGACCUCAGAGUGAUCCAUAUAUACCUAUAGCUUUAAACUAAUUCAAAGGCAUCCUAAAUAUGCGGUUGGACCUAUGGAAAGAGUCAACUCCCUGCCUAGCUCUCUUUGGCUCAUCUGAACUCUGCUGAUGGCCACUGAAAUGGCAAUGCUGUUAACUACAGCAGCACCACCAAAUUAGCACCACGGAGAUGAUCAGGAUCUCUGCAGUUGGCCUCUUGGCAUGAAGUUUGCUAUUACAUUUCCUCCAGCUCUGCUAAUUCUGAUCCUUUACCCUGCACUAGCUGUGCUAACUGUGCAGCCUGGGGUGUAGAUCCAAGCACUGAACUAAGGUAUUUUGGGUUUUAUAGUUAGAGCUCAAUUAAAAAACCAAGUAUGGACAGGACUGUAAUGGGAAGGGGAGCAGCGCUCUGGGACAGAGAGCCUGUGCUGUAAGCCAGUGUUGCUACUAGAGAAAAGGUAACCCAGAAUAAAAUCCUUAUCUUACCAGCACUUUCACACUGUAAAAGAAUUGCAGAGCUUCCCAAACCCUUUUUUAUUUAUUGGCAAGUUCUUGCAGGAAGGAGAACCCAUCCUCUCAGAAUCCCUUUGUUGGGCUGGAACCACUCAGCGUGGGAUGUGCUUUUACAGCAUGGGCAACCGGGCAGGCAUCACACCAGACCAACUGUCUGACAAAAGCUGUGAAAAAGGGGUUGCUUUCCCUGGUUUGCAUCUCUGAGAACAGCCUCUGAUGUACACUGAGCCUUCCAGACCUCCUCCCUCCUCUGCUAUUUCAUUUCAUUGUUAAUCAUCCCACUUUCCUCUUUGUUAGCAUCAUUAAUACCUUUAAUGCAUUCUUAUAAAAAGCACAGUGAGAUUGCCAGCUAGUGGAAAUCAGCAGCAUCUGGGGCUGUGCCAAUUCCCUUCAGCUCAGACACACAGUGAUAGCUGCCACCUUCCCAUUUGUGUGAAGAAAAAGCCAUCACUAUUUGUCCGUGCCCAUCUCCUCUUGGAAGCAAAUGCAUGCGUGUACAUAAAUGUAAUAUAUACACUGGCAUACAUAAAGCUAUUAUACAGCAGAAAAAUCCCAGUGUUUGUUCCAGAGUGUGAUUUAUUUGAGAAACUAAUGGCUUAUUACAUGCAGAACGCUCUCAUUCUACUGAGGAUGAAAAGUGCCUUGGAGAAUGAAGUCUGAGAAAGCUGCACAAGUAACUGCAUUGGAAAUGAUGACAUUAGCUCACAGAGAAAAUCCAUUUUAGCUGCCCAGGACUCUGAGCCUGUGUUUGUACAAUUUCCUGUGGGCAGAGGUGUCAGAGAGGUACUGCCUAUAAACCUCCUUUUCUCUGUGAUGUGAUGGCUCCUGUAACUAAUCUUUCAAACACACAGAACGCUUGCUGCAGUCACCAGGCUAGAAAUGCUUUGUGCCUCUGGACAAACCUCACCAGACUGACUAAUGGCACAGCUGGGAUCCCAGGAAUAAUUCAAACACCACCUUUAUUGCUUUAUGAGCAACAACUGAGGGAUGCUGCAGCAGCCACAAGCCUCUCAGGAAAGCCCAUGUGGGCUUCUCACUGCAGGUGUGCUGGGGAAGCUGAUGACAGCACAUACUGUGCACCACUUGUUUUCCCUCCCCUCCUCCUGUCUUUCCCUUUAUCUCUAACAUAACCAUGCCUUCACACUUUAAAAAACAAAUAAGAGCAAAAAAUAUCAGGGUUGCUUUCACAUUUGCCACCUUCCCCCUUCCCUCUGCUCAGGUUUCUCUUCCCUGGCCCCCUCUGUGCCUUGCUGCUCACCCUGCAGAGCCGAGCAGGGCUCUCUCAUGCUCCACUUGUACAACGGGCUUUCUACAGGCUUUUGACUGCUAAUGACCUCCAUGCUCCAAGUAUUUCUGAGUGAAAAACUGCAUCUGUUCACCGACUGGAAAGCACAAAAGCACAGCUUCACAAAUGCCUGCGAUGGUUUUACUCACCCUCUUCAUCACCUCAAUGGGCCACUCGAUUUGUGGAACAUCAGCCCAUCAGGAAGAGGUGAGAGGGAAAGGGGCUGGGUGUUCUCUGAAGCCCCAACGCAGGUCACAGUCCCUACAGCAGGUGACAGUUUUGAAUAUGUUUCUGAGGAUGGUUGUGCCUCACAACCCCGCUCUCAUUUCACCAGGAGGCUUUUGGACUUUAACAGGAGGAACCUCUGUGCAAUUUGUGACCUGCAGGUUCACACCCUUGCUUGUAUUUAUUAUUUUAAAAAACUCUAAUGGAGUAAUAACUUUUAAAAAUCUGUCUAAAGAUCACUCUGUCUGCUGCUCUUUUAUUAAUACCCUCCUUUUCAUCUUCCGCUAUCAUGUUCUUUGAAAUAACUGAAUUAGCAACUUGCAGUGUUUUCCCAUCCUCAUCAAGGUCAGUAAGUUCAGGAAAAAAUCUGAAAUUAUACCUGGCUCAUAAAAUUACUCCUCUUCCCCACCUACUAUUUUACUCACUACAGGGAGAUUACAUUUCCCAUGGGGGCUCAUUAGUGUUGCUCUUUGCUCAGCAUCAGGAAAUCUUUUGGAGUUGUCUUUGCUCCCACUUGAUAGAAAUUGCUCUUUAUUUCUUCUCCCAGCUCACUGACCACAACUCCCUCAUUCUUAGGGAUUUUUAGAAAGACAUUCUUAGGCAUUUUUAGAAAGACAAAGCUUUUGGACCAAAAAACCCUACCAUGCUUCUAACCUUGAUGCUGCUGCUGAGUGAAUGAACGAGCUGUCCAAGGCACACUGAAAGAUUGGUCUUUAAGGGACUAACAGGUUAAAACUAGGAAUUCCUGUUCUUUGUCAGAGCAAACAAGGAAUUACAAUGUUUUAGUUGUAAUUUCUCUUUUACAGAGGUCAAAUAUAUAAAGCUAGAGGACACAAAGCAGUCUCCCUUGCUUUCAUUUUUUUAAAUGCUGCACACCAGUGAUACAACAUGCAGCUACACCUCCUUAAUUGGUUCUUUUGUUCCAAACUUCUGGUGGCUGAUCUAGCAUUAGUGGAAAAAAAGCAUAAAUCCCUGAACACUGUGAAAUGAGCUAGCUCAGUUAAGCAGGUACUACAUAUAAAAACCAGGGCAUAACAACACUGAAUUUGGUGUGAUUAAGUGUCUGACCAUCCAACUGCUGCCAACAGUUCAAUUUCAGUACACUAUAACUGAGUAUUUUGAUUCAAAAGGAGAUCUCAAAGUGACACAGUGUUGAGGACUGAAAAGGAUAAAAUAUGAGAGAAAUCUCAACAACUUGCCAGUGGCUUAAGAAAUAAAACCUGCUUUGGUACCUCAGAAUUUGAUACUCUCCCAGAAAUGGGGUCCUAACCAGAAACUGCUCCUUCCUGACACCUCCCAAGCAGCCUCCCUGCUCAGCCUUUUUGGCUCCUACUCCAGUCCCUGCUCUACCUUAGAGUACCUGUGGGAAAGUAGAAAAUAGCUCUUUUAAAGAUUAAACCUUCAGUCUUUAAACAGAACAGUUCAAAAAUCCUCUGCAAUGGCACAGUUUUGUUAUCAGUCCUACCCUGCACCUUCCAGGCUUUGUCCAAGCCCAAUCCUGAGCAGCAGAGCUGGGAAGGAUCUCAGCUUUUGUGUAUCUCAGAGCACCUUUCAGAGAGGCUUUGCAUGAGUUCAAGAUUGGAAUAGAGGUCUAGAAAGUUUACAGACAGUUGCACUUAACAAAUGUGAAUCUUCAUGCCAGGUAACAAAUGUCACUGAUGUAUUUAUGAAAUACAGGCCAAAACAUCAAAGCACCUUGUCUUUUCCCCAAAGUGUUUUCAAGGGCUCUGCAUAAUCAUCUUUUUUACAAGUGGCCAAAAGCCUCCACUGACAGUUUUUGAUGUUACAAGUGGGAGCUUUUUGCAGACCUCUGAGGAGUUCUUCCCCCUACAAAUCAGACUAUUGGCACUCACAUAAAUGUAUACUGUUGAUGUUUUACAAAUUCGUAUAGAACAGAUUUAGAUUAGAGAAGGAUUUUCAUACACAGCAAUGGACUAAGAAAGCCGAAGAGUCUCCGUAAAUCCCCAGACUUUCCAAAAUCCAUUAUUUCCUGAAAGGGCUGAUUAUUCACAAAGGAGAUGAAGAAGAAGCCACUCCACCAGUAAGUUUAACUCCAAACUUGGUAAAUUUGGGCCCACUACAGAGCAUGUGCAAUCUUGAAUUAGAAAAGUGACUCUCCCUCCAGGUGCAGACAAUGAUCUGAUUUGCUACUUCUCAGCCUAAGGACUCCUACCUCCCCCAAGUUCCACCAGAACUGACUAAACACUAUUUCAGCAAAGUGCUUUCAGCUGCAAGAACCUGAACAUUCCACUUCUCUGCCAUCAAGUGCUUUCAGCUGAAAUGUGUUGUCACAAGAGAGCAGGAGCAGGAGGAACAGCUCCUACUACAUCAGUGGUUUCAAACUCACGAGGGUUUGCAGAUCUCAACUUCCAGAGACAUGCUGAACUAUGGUAGAGACUUAGACAUUAUCAAUAAUCAAAUUGCCCAAGUUACAAUGUGCAGACCCACAGAGCAGAGCACAGAAAUUAAAGUAGAUAUAAAUAAUGAAAAAAGCUCCUUAAUAAUAUCUGUAUAAAUCAAUGCAUCCUUUACUGAUAAAAUUUAUUUUCUUCCUAUUCUCACACCCAGAUGGUGAGGGGGGAAAAAUUUAAGGAGGUUGCUUGCAAUAUAUAUUACUGUCCAAGGCAAUGCAUUAAUAAUCUAAAAAUAGCUGGAGAAUGUAUAUUUGGUAAAACAAGUAUUUACACCUCUUUCCCACUGUCUUCAUUAUUGAAACCACAGCAAAACACCAGAUCCUACUGAUUUGGACAUUAGAAAUGCGUUUGGUGAAGACUUUACUGUCUGUCUGUUGUCAUGGUAACAUCCCAGGUAAAAAUAAUUUCUUGAAUAACUUAUAAACAGACAGAUGGCAUAAAACCUACGCUCUCCAAAUUGAAGGAGAUUCAGUAAAAGACAGUGUUGAUGCCAGUUCCACAAAGUCCUGCAUGUUGAAGAGGGCACAUCUCCAAGGUCUUGCUCGCGCUGGCAGAAGUUCACCUCAGGACGUGAACAAAAGGGAGAUCAGGGAUGCUGCAGGAACCAAAAUGAGGAGACAGAAGUCAAGUCAGCACUCUUCUAUGUAGCAUUUCCCAAGGGAUUACAAAGGUGCCCUGAAAUAAUGAUCCUACAUAAAACAAGGAAAUUAAUCCCAUAUUGUACCAGGGAACAAAAGCUGUUCUUGGAAUUGCUGAAGCCCUGCCCUGCUUAUGCUCUGGCAGGGAAAUGAGAAACAUCACCGGCUGCCAUCACACUGCACGUGCAAUGCAGCGCUGCGUCUGCAACAGGCAAUUGGAAAGCUUUUUUUAAUCAACAUAAGCUUUCUGAAGACAGGAAAGCCGUGAAACUGACAACAUUCAUACCCAAGACAAUUCCCUUCACCCUCACAUUCGGCCAAAGCACCAAGAGAUGUGAACGGGGAAGUCGCACUGUGGGAAUGAUGUCAGCUACGGAACAGUCCAUCGAGCUGAGCCAUGUUUCUUGUGAAAUCCAAAAUCUCCCUCUGCCAAGUCACACCCCAAUUAAGUCAUUUCAACAUUCUGACUCAACUCCCUUAAUUCUAAAAAUAGGCUGAACAAGAGCUGUUCCUUCUCAAAGGAGCUGUGGACAAGGCAGGCUACAGCCAAGGCAGUGAUCACAGCCCCAGCCACAGCUACACUCGCUCUGUUCUUGGGCAGGAUCACAAAUUCCAAUUAAAAACCUGCACUUUCCCAAAAAUAGCAAACAGCUUUCUCCUGAAAUGAGCAGAUGCUGAGCACCGUCGUCAGCAAGAGCCAGAGCUUUUUCCAAGGGAAACAGAUUGUUCAACAUAAAGAAUUCAAAGUAGCUGAGAGCCCAGGAAAAGGAGCAUUACAUCAAAACACACUUCUCUCCAUCAGCUGUUUGUGCCUUGUUUUGCAUUUAUCUGCUGUUUUAACUAAACUUCCCUUACUCCUCUCAGCUACUUUUCUCAAUAGGUGCAGAAACCAGAAAAAGGCAGUAACAUUAGAUCAGUGAGUUUUCUUUUGGUAUUUUUGCACUAUCUCUGCCUACAAGUUUUUUUAUGGCCAGAUUUACUGGAAUUUCCAUCUUCUAUGGCCAAAUAAAACCUCUCAUUAUUAAAAACGAAAAGCAAACCACUUACCCCUGCUCUGUAGUGCACUGUGGUCAGUCUAAUGCUUAGAAAUAAAUACUUAUUUUUUUUUACUGAGAUCUCACUAAUACCCUUUGAGUAAAUUCAUAAACACCUUUAAGUUCUCCAAAGAAAUACCAAGUAUUUUGUGAAGAAACAUCUUUGAAUAUAAACACAUCAUCUCACAUCUUUGAACAUAAACAGUACUGUAAAGGGUGAAAAAAAGAAAAAAAGUAGAAUUUUAAAUUUUACAUCCCCUAUUUCCAUUUCCCAAAAAUGAGAGGUAAGAAAUCAGUCUGGCCUUAUGAGCACAAUGUGUUAUGGGAGAGAAGUAAUCUUGAAUUUCUGUCUGCUUGUUUCUGCCCUCACACAUCUGUGUAGGGUUUAACUUCAUCGUUUGCUCUACAAGCACAACUCACUCCCAGCAACAAACAUAAUCUCCAUGAAGACUUAAUUAUUCAGUUCUAUUACCUUUGGUGUGACGACCUGCAAACAAAUAGGUUUUUCCCCCAUGAUGUAAGUUCACAGCUUCAGAGCAGUACAAUGGGCUGCCAUCACCAACCAGUAAUUGCACCAGAGAAAUAAUUUAACUUUUUAAUCAGCAUUUGGUGCUACCAGCUCCAUUUGACUUAAAAGUGAAAGGCAGCAGCGUUACUGUCACACCCAAACUCCAGAAACAUCAAGCAAAGCAACUCAUUUAAGGAGCGAAUUUAAGCACCAAUUCCAAAAGCACACAGCAACAUUCCUUCAGAACCAUUACUUGGACUAAAUAAAGAAUAAGCAAGACUUGUGACAUGAAGUUAUUCUUCAAGACACUGGAAGAAUGCUUCUUCCCCCUCGCAGUGAAAUGUGAACUCUGUGAAACACAAAAAGUGAGUCAUCCCUUGGAACUGCAGUGGCAGGGGAUUGAAAAUCAGAAGGACCAGCAGCCAACACUGCAGUUAUCUGAGCACCCAACGUGGUCGUGAUGAACAGGAUUAUUUUACCCACUGUUGAAUCUUCUCCCACCUCUCUGAUAGGGCUGUACAACUCUGCAGUAUCAGUAAGAAAACUCUUCAGGCUGAAGCCGUUUUCUGCUGCCCACAAAGCCAGGCUGCUGAAACACAUCAUCGCCUUAAUACAGUCAAACCAGUUUCAGCUGACGGCUCCCAAUUAUUUUUUUUAAAUUUUUGUGUUUCGUUUUCUUAGCAAAUAUUUACCUGAAGUCUGUAUCACAGCAGAGAUUGUUUAGAUUAAAAAAAAAAGGUACUAAAGUUUGUAACUAACUUUUCUCUUGAGGGUCCAGAUGGAGCAGAGAUUUUUGGCUCUAGAAUCACCAGUGGAAGUGUUCUGACAUAACUGAAACUAACAGCAGGCACUUUUAUUGGAUGACAACAUGUUUAUAAAAAGCAGAAUUGCUUCAAUCAGUCAGUUAAAAAAAGACAUUAAGGCAAAUUACUACAGUUAGAGCUGGGAAACACAGCCAAGUGCUGGGAAAGAAACUGGUCAGCUUUACUAGAUUUGGGAAGUUCUUUUCCCACCCUGGUGACUGAAGGCUGUGCUGCUGCCUCCUGAAGGACACAGCACAACUUCCAGUCCUCUCUUCAGCUUCUCUACAGUACAAGGGAAGCACAAGCGGGGAAGCACAAGUGACAGCCUCUGCACACGGAUGCAGGUCCUCUGAGGAAUGGGAACAGUCAAAGCAGCUUAAAUGUCCUCUGCAGAGUCCUGUGAAACCCUUCUGCACCCUUCAGGUGUGCUGAGAGCUAACAUCUGAGUUAGUCCAUCAAACCACUUCUCAAGUUAGAUUUAAUUGAUGAGUCAGCAUAAAGGGUGACUGGAACAGAGGAAGACAAGUGAAUGCAGGGAAAAAAUGAAAAUGACAUCAAGCUUGCUAAAUAUGUAUUGUUUAUUAAGGCUUGUAUUCUCCUAGAGGAAAAAGUUAAUCUGAUGCUGUCCAUUACUCCUUACAGGCAGUAACAGUCCAGAGACAGAGUUAUACGUUCUAAAUACAAGUCUAAAUGAUACAGAUUAAACUUUAUUUAAAUUGGAGGUCCUUUUGGAGUAAAUAGUAUUCAGAAGAUACUUGCUUUCUAAUAUAGUAAAAGAUCCUCUACAAUAAACACGUGCAGAUUCAGUGUGCUAGAGCAGCGGACAUGAGCACCAUUUCCAUGCUUAACUGGAACUCCAGUUGGUGACAGGUUCUCCGACGGUCCCCUCACUCCACAAAAACAUGACAGCAAAUUCAAUUUCUUAAAACAGGUUUUUUUACUCAUCCAACAGAAAAAAAAAAUUAGACAUACACACUGUCAAUUUUAAACAUCUGAGGCAUAAUCCAUCAUAUUAUCCGUACUAUUAGUUCCUACGUUAAAGCUCAGCAUUAUUGGUAUAAAAACUUUAAAUGGCAUUAGGAUUUGGGGGGGGUUGGGAGAGAGUAAUGAAGGGAAGGAUUAAAAAUGAUCUGCAAUUAACUAAUAACACCUGAAAGCUGAAACAGGUUUAAACACAUUGUUUAAAACCCCUGCAAUGUCGAUAGCAUCACAUUAUUAUUUAAUUAAGCUACAAAAACCGUAAAGCAGAAUUAUGGCUGAGAGAAAGCAUCUCGCUCACCCUCGGCAGGAUAUGGAGUAACAGAUGCACACUGAAGCACUGGUUAACAGAAUGUGAAAGGGAAAUAUUUUCCAGAAAAACAAUUCCACUGACAAUUUGAUUUUCUACUAGACAGACCAACAUGGCGCAUCAGCAGUUUUAAAAGAGUAAUUGUACAGAUAAAUAAAGAGGCAGAGCAGCUGCACAAAGUGAUCAAAAUUUAGGGUUUUUUUCAUUUCAAAAUUCUGAAGUGCAGUAUCUUAGGAGGUUUUUUUUUAAAUGACAAAAAAAAAAAAAUCAAUGCAUGGUUUCUUACUUCUGCCAUGAAGAAAAAGGGGUUGGGAGGAGGAUAAAGGAAGAUUUGUCAUGUAUUCUCCAUAAUCUCUAUAUCUGGCUAGGAACAUAAUUCGUGCCAAAAUAAAGUCUUUGGGAAGCACUGACACUUUAGUAUGCUCAUGUAUAGGUCCACAUUAGGUUAAUAUAACUGUUUACCAACUUAAAAAAAUAAAAACAGACACACCUUUAUUAAUGAUUUCUACAGAAUUUUACAUAGAAAAAAGAUACAAAUUAAUGCAGAUCCACUUGGGCAAAAAUAAACUACAAUGUACUUAAAGAUGCAACAACUUAAUUUCCCCUGCACGAGAAGAUAUAUUGGAGCUGAAAGCUUUAGUUUGUCCUGAUGCCAGGAUACAGCACCAGUUAUACUUAAUUUUGUUUCUCAUAGUCGAAUUUAAUAUCAGUUCUAGUAUAUAUAUCAAACUGUAUAUGUUUAUUCUUAUUGUUUGUUUCGAUUCUGACGUUCCUGCAAAGAGAAAAAAGUUAAGAUUUUAGUCAAAGGAACAAGCAAAGAGUUUUUAGUAGUUUAACAGCACUAAUGUGCUUCUAGAUAACUAUACACUUAAAACAAUGCUGCUACUUUUUAUAAAUAUAUUGCUCAUACCCAACAAACCCAAGGACUCGAUAACUUAAUGUUUUUUAAUGCAGUCUCAAAUGGAACAUCUGGAUGAAUACCUGCAGUCACUUCAAACCAACAGCAGCUGAAGGUCACAGAGAGAGAAAGUGCAGAACUGGCAUGGAAAGACUCGACUCUGUACUUAAAUGCAUCAAUAUGGCACUAAAUCCUAUUCCAAGCAAGGAAACUGUGAACCCAAGCACCACCAAGAGCCCAAGCACCACCAAGAGCCAACUCCUGAACUAACUCCUUCAGAUUCUGUUUUGUGGACUCAUUCUGUAUAAACUUCAUCUCAAUUGUUUCUGCUGUGAUGUAAAGCUUAUUUGGAAAUAUACCAACCAUUGUAAAUGUAACAGACUGCACUUGUUGCUUCAGCUGGUCACAGCAUAAAAAUCAGAACAGAUUUUUAAAAACUGAAUAUAUUGAUUUCUGCCUCCAGGCAGAAUAUUAAUAUUUCAAUUUUCAUAAUAAAAUUAAGUCAACGAAGUCCAGAAUGAAUUCUUAAUCUAUGAUUUAAGACAAGUAAGAGAUAGCAAAGUUGUUUUACCAAAUCAACAAAACAGGUUGUGUGAAGUGGUAGAAUUUAUUAUAAAAAUCUAUAUUCUUCCUGUCUUUUAACUCUUGACUAUGAUGAAAUAUCAGUGAAAGCUGUUUCUUAAUGGCAGUGUCAGAACAUUAGG